rnacentral:lncRNA from 1 species
AGGAGGGGCAGCCCCUAGCUGCCCUAUUGGCAGCUUUCUUUGCCAAGGGGCAGACAAGAAGGUGAGAGACUCAUCGGCAGGUAGUGUGGGUGGCGGCUCUCAGCCAAUGGCGGUGGAUUCGGAUGGAUUCUAGCGAGAGAAGGGCAAUGCAUCUCGGAAUAAAGAAAUAGGGCAAUGGAGAAACUAGAGAAAGAAGGGGGGUUUCUGGCGGCGUUAUUCGGAUGUGGCGGCACGACAGCCACCGAAGAAGAUGGAGAAAGGGAGAGGAAGUGGGGAGAGGUGCGGUGAUGGAUCAUCUGAAGGGAAGAAGGGAUUUAAAGAGAGGGUUUUAUAGAGGAUAGGCUCGGCUCAA